CCCUUAGAUGUUCUGGGCCGCACGCGCGCUACACUGAUGCAUUCAACGAGUUUCUUCCUGGUCCGAGAGGAAUGGGUAACCUUUUGAAAGUGCAUCGUGAUAGGGAUAGACUAUUGCAAUUAUUAAUCUUCAACGAGGAAUGCCUAGUAGGCGCAAGUCAUCAGCUUGCGUCGAUUACGUCCCUGCCCUUUGUACACACCGCCCGUCGCUCCUACCGAUUGGGUGUGCUGGUGAAAUGUUCGGAUCGGCCGUUUGUCGCGGUUUCCGCGGCUCGUGGCUGAGAAGUUCAUUAAACCCUCCCACCUAGAGGAAGGAGAAGUCGUAACA
rnacentral:rRNA from 1 species